AGUUCCUCGCAGAAAAUACCGCUAACGCCACAGAAUCAUCUCUGCGAGCAAAUUAGAACCUCGCCUCCCGCCUAGUUGGUGCAGUGUUUGGAGUCUCUCAUACACACAGAAAAAUAUAUAUUCCGCGGAACGAUAGCUGCCGCUUGUGACAGCCGAUCCGUCGCAGCGGCGUACGAUGUUCAGGGAAAGUCUGUUACUCCACUACGCAGUACGACGUUUGCCAAUGGCGGUGAGUAUAAGGUCUUCCAGGUUGCUGGCGCUUGCUGUGCUGUUCCUCGGCUGUGUCACUGUCCUGCUGUUCCUAAGACGCGGAUACAACAGCGUGGCCUGGAUCGCGGACUCAAGCGUGGCCUGGCUGCCCGAACCACUCCGUGCUACGAAAGCUUCCCCAGUCAUCGACACUCUUCGGGACCUGAACUGGACAACCUGCCCGAGUGAGAACGAAGUCCAGUCGGAGCACUACUUUCGUCUUUGGGACGAAAUGCUCGGGCAAGCGCUGCGAAUGUCGACAGAAGGGCUCCCUAGGACAGAGCGAGAGUCGUGGAAUGCUGUGACGGACAACAUCCACGUCUUCUCCGCCUUCCUCGUCAACACCACGGAGCACGCGAUUCACAUCACCAGCCUCGUCCGAAGCCACGAGCC